rnacentral:rRNA from 1 species
UACGUAGGGGGCUAGCGUUGUCCGGAAUCAUUGGGCGUAAAGAGCGCGUAGGCGGCCAGAUAAGUCCGGUGUGAAAGUCAAAGGCUCAACCUUUGAAUGCCGCUGGAAACUGUCUGGCUAGAGUCCGGGAGGGGCGAGUGGAAUUCCCGGUGUAGCGGUGAAAUGCGCAGAUAUCGGGAGGAACACCAGUAGCGAAGGCGGCUCGCUGGGCCACUCCUGACGCUGAGACGCGAAAGCUAGGGGAGCGAACAGG